GUAAAUACACAGAGAGGUGUAUGUCACUGUAAAUACACAGAGGUGUAUGUCACUGUAAAUACACCGAGAGGUGUAUGUCACUGUAAAUACACAGAGGUGUAUGUCACUGUAAAUACACAGAGGUGUAUGUCACUGUAAAUACACUUAGAGGUGUAUGCCACUGUAAAUACACAGAGGUGUAUGUCACUGUAAAUACACCGAGAGGUGUAUGUCACUGUAAAUACACAGAGGUGUAUGUCACUGUAAAUACACAGAGAGGUGUAUGUCACUGUAAAUACACUUAGAGGUGUAUGCCACUGUAAAUACACAGAGAGGUGUAUGUCACUGUAAAUACACAGAGAGGUGUAUGUCACUGUAAAUACACAGAGGUGUAUGUCACUGUAAAUACACAGAGGUGUAUGCCACUGUAAAUACACAGAGGUGUAUGUCACUGUAAAUACGUAGAAAGUUUAUUUUAACCUCUCUUUUAAGUAUUCAAGUAUUCUUGACUGGUUAUGAACAAGUUAUAGAAGAGCUUCAAUAACUCUUAGAGUAGUCGAUAAGCUUUAAGCUCAGUUAAGCAGCCUGCUGCAAUCUUUCAUAUAGUAUAACGAACACCGCCUAUAAUGAAAAAGAAUAGAUGCUGACAAUGGAAACCCAGACGUUAACUUGACCGUACCCUGACUGUCCCACAUUGUCAAACUGGCGAUUCACACUACAUUGUUAACAGGCAGAUUAUUAUUAUUAUUAUUAUUAUUAUUAUUAUUAUUAUUAUUAUUAUUAUUAGGAAACGCCAAAUCUGUAGUUAUACAAUAUCUAGCGAAUAGACCUCAAGCGGUGUAGGGCUUUUGAUUCAGGUAACUGGAGCUACCUUCCUUCCUGGGAUCAAACCUAAAUGCUUUCCUUAUAGGGAACGAGAUUACUAUCCCUUGAAUAAAAGCAAUACAAAUACAGAAAAAUAACGAAUAAAGUAGCAAUAAUAAUAAUAAUAAUAAAAAUA